AACAGGCUUAUCUCCCCCAAGAGUCCACAUCGACGGGGAGGUUUGGCACCUCGAUGUCGGCUCAUCACAUCCUGGGGCUGUAGUAGGUCCCAAGGGUUGGGCUGUUCGCCCAUUAAAGUGGUACGCGAGCUGGGUUCAGAACGUCGUGAGACAGUUCGGUCCCUAUCCGGCGCAGGCGUAGGAAAUUUGAGAAGACCUGUCCUUAGUACGAGAGGACCGGGAUGGACGUACCUCUGGUGUACCAGUUGUCCUGCCAAGGGCAUGGCUGGGUAGCUAUGUACGGAAUGGAUAAGCGCUGAAAGCAUCUAAGCGCGAAGCCAACUUCAAGAUAAGAUUUCCCACCGCAAGGGUAAGACCCCAGAAAGACUAUCUGGUUG
rnacentral:rRNA from 1 species